CUUUCUGAAACCAGCACAGGAAAAAGCUUGCUGCUUAAAUCCUCUCUUCUUCACCAGUAAAGGGGGAUUAAACCAGCCUCUCAGGUCUCUGACUUCACUGCUGACCCCUGAGAGGACAGAGGAGCUGCUGGCUAUCUACCCCAGGGAGACGGAGGACACCCAGCGAGCUGAGGUCAAAAGUAGAUGUGGGCCACUCUGAAUCACAAAAGAACAAUAAGCUGAAGAUCUUGGAGACCAACCUCAUCCCUAAUGCUAACAUUUGAGUACACUGUAUGAGCAGGCUUCUGCAGGAAGACUAAAGUAGUCCUCAUUCACUAGACUGAUGAAGAAGUCACUGUCUAUCACUUGUGCCUCCAAGGAGUGAGUCAACAAUGGUGUUUAAAAAAAAAUAAAUUCGCUGUUUCUGAACUGA